UACAGAGACUGCAAGCGUUAUUCGGAUUCACUGGGCGUAAAGGGUGCGCAGGCGGCCGUGUGUGUUAGGCGUGAAAGCCUGGGGCUUAACCCCAGAAUUGCACCUAAAACUACAUGGCUAGAGCAUUGGAGAGGGUAGCGGAAUUCACGGUGUAGCAGUGAAAUGCGUAGAUAUCGUGAGGAACACCAGAGGCGAAGGCGGCUACCUGGACAAUUGCUGACGCUCAGGCACGAAAGCGUGGGGAGCGAACUGA
rnacentral:rRNA from 1 species